rnacentral:lncRNA from 1 species
UUGAUAACUCUAAUUUUGCUAAUGUUGUGAAUGGUAGUGUAAAUAUACGUGUUUUCUGGUGGGCUUAGGUGAAAGGGUCGUUCAACCCCAAAGGGUUUGUGACCCACGGGUCGAGAACUGCUGACUUAGAAGACGUGGACAUGGAGGAGGAGGGGUGGAGGUGUCACUGAGCUGUAGAACACUUGCCUGGCAGGCAUAAGUCCAUGGGAUGCAUCCCCAUGGCACUGGGCGGGAUGUCCCGUGAGAUGAAGACCAGUGACUCCCCUAGGACCCUGGAGAAGUCGUUUGUGCCGUCACGGGUGCAGCCAAGGCAGAUGGCCCCAAGUCCAGACCUCUGCCUUUGUGUGAGAUGGAAAAGCGAUAGAAUCUCUCUGUACACAUAAACAUCUAACAAAUGGUGGGGGGCGUGUGUCCAAACAAAUCCAACUGGCAGGACACAUGGUGCCGCCGGGAGGAAGCCUCUGUCUUAUCUGUCGUACCUUGAAGGGUAAAUGGAGCUGCAGGCUGGGGGUUGCCUUCAAAGGCCAGAGGGUGGGUAUGCUGUAAAAAAAAAAAAUGGAGGCUGGUGGGAGCCAUGAUGCGGUUCUUCCACACAGUUGGUCACUCUCUCCCUAGUGCUACCCUAAAUGGCCAUGACACAUAAUCCCUUUGCGAUUCUUAUUAUUCUACUUGCUAUCACAAGACCGUAACAAUUUUAGACAGUCAAGGGAGAUUAAGGGAGGAGUUGGUAGAAUAGGCUUUUCAAACCUUUGAUUACCUCAGAAGACAUAUUUGCUUACUUUACCAGGAAGUUGGUUUUUGGUUUUGUUUUCUCCGGGUGCCAAGAGGGGAUUAAUGAGUAGCCGCUGGCUUUGCCAGCUUUCUUUUGAUUUCAGUUUAUAUAAUUAAGCAGUUCCCAGAAUGACUUGAGGUUCGCUGCCCCACCCCCCUCCCCAACCAUGCAUCAAAACACCCUUCUCAAAUGUGUCAGAGGUCAGCAGCAAUCCGCACUGAAUGGAGGGUGGGGAAGGAGCAAGCCUAUCUUGCUUUAGAACAUCUCUAAUGUGUAAAAGGGUCAGUGGUUGUGAUUGAGGGGUGCAUAGGACUGUGGGGGGGGAGCAGACUCGGAGGAAGGUUGAAGGUGGACCAGGACGAGAGUCAGGAGUACUAUGGGAGCACCUGCUUUCUCUGGACUUUCUAGCGAUGGAGGCAUGCAGUGGGUAUUCAAGAAUGCACGCACUCAACAUGGAUGUGCUAAGAACCUACUACGUGCCAGAGCUGGCCCUAGAUGGUGAAGAAAGAAGGGCACAAAACUUGGUCCUCUUGUGAUGCUCAGAGGAACAGAGCCAUCUUCACUGAGACCCUGCCUUGCUCAGCCUUAAGCUCAGAGUGGUUGGCUCUGUUUGCAAGCGUGUGGCCUUCCAAGGGACGGUCUCCUCGCUUUAGGUGAGGAAGUCUCUCGACAGGACGACAGCAGGACUGACUGACUGUUGAAGGCUUUGUCACUGCGUGGAUGGCUGAUGUAGACAGGCACCACUGACUGAAAUGGUCUUUCCCAAUCCCACAGACGGGAGGCUUUCUGUAGCAGGAUGACCCACCUUCAUCUCUUUAUGAAGUAAGACCUUGUGGAGACAAACGUUAGGCCUGGCUUCAGUUCCACAUGUAAUAACCUCGCCCCUGCCCCAGACACCUCAGGCUUUCCACCUAUGCAGUACUACUGAUAAAGGUUCUCAUGUCGCCCAGGCUGGCAUCCAACUCACAGUGUAGGCUAGGGUGACAUUGAACUUCUGAUCUUUUUGUCUGCCCCUCCUGAUCGCUCCUUGUGUAAUACUAAGGGUAGAGUCCAGAGCGUCCUACACAUCAAGCAAGCAUUGCCCACUGAGCAACAUCCCCAGAGCUAUAGCCCUUACUUUUAAAGAGUUUUUUUUUUUUAAAUUCUUUUUGGAGCCUCUAAUUCCCUUAAAAAUAAAAUAAAAUAAAAUAAAAUAAAAUAAAAUAAAAUAAAAUAAAAAUUAGUCCAGAACUACAAACAGCCCCUGCUUUCCUGGAACAUACAGACUGCCUUAGUUAGGGUUUCUAUCAUUGUGUUAAACACCAUGACCAGAAGCGACCUGAGAGGAAAAAGGUUUACUUCAGCUUAUAAUGCCAUCUCUGAGGGAAGCCAGAGCAGGAACUGAAGGCAGGAACCUGGAGGCAGGAACUGAAGCAGAGGCCAUGGACGGUGCUGCUCACUGGCUUGCUCCUCAUGUCUGGCUCAGCCUGCUUUCUCACAGCACCCAGGACUGCUAUCUCAGGGAUGAUAUACUUCCCAGAGUGAGCUGGAUCAGAGCCUCCCUCCCCUAUCAUC